UUUGCACUUGUGCGGUAGUAUAUGGA
rnacentral:piRNA from 1 species